rnacentral:rRNA from 1 species
AUUGAACGCUGGCGGCAGGCUUAACACAUGCAAGUCGAGCGGAGAUGAGGUGCUUGCACCUUAUCUUAGCGGCGGACGGGUGAGUAAUGCUUAGGAAUCUGCCUAUUAGUGGGGGACAACAUUCCGAAAGGAAUGCUAAUACCGCAUACGUCCUACGGGAGAAAGCAGGGGAUCUUCGGACCUUGCGCUAAUAGAUGAGCCUAAGUCGGAUUAGCUAGUUGGUGGGGUAAAGGCCUACCAAGGCGACGAUCUGUAGCGGGUCUGAGAGGAUGAACCGCCACACUGGGACUGAGACACGGCCCAGACUCCUACGGGAGGCAGCAGUGGGGAAUAUUGGACAAUGGGGGGAAGCCUGAUCCAGCCAUGCCGCGUGUGUGAAGAAGGCCUUAUGGUUGUAAAGCACUUUAAGCGAGAAGGAGGCUACUGAGACUAAUACUCUUGGAUAGUGGACGUUACUCGCAGAAUAAGCACCGGCUAACUCUGUGCCAGCCGCCGCCGUAACAC